GAUGUUGAAGACCUCAGUGAGGUCUCCCCUCAGUCUCCUCCAGGAUGAACAGACCAAGUGAACUCAGCCACUCCUCUUAGUGGAGUUUCCCCACCAGACCCUUCACCAUCCUCAUGGCCCUCCUUUGGAUGCUGUCUAAUAGCUGAAUGUCUCUUUUAUAUUGUGGUGCCCAAAAGUGCACAAAGGACUCAAGGUGAGGCCUCAUAGUGGCCUCAGUGCCUGAUGAGGAAUGAAUUCCUGUAAUGGAAGAAGGCUCAGAGAAGAUGGGCAAGGGCAAUGAGUGACUGACCACCUCUGAUGCAAAUAAAGAACUUGUUCAACAAAACCAGUGCAACUGGAGGACAUUCUGCAUGUGACUCAACAGAAAGCAGAGACUUCUGCUCAAGGAGAGAAAGAAAAUGCAGCUCAGGACAUCUGUCUUCCAUUCCUGUGUCUUCUUCCUGGAGAACUCCAUGUCUUUUCUGCCAGUGGCCUCUGAAUCCACUCAGAGAGAAGAGGACACAAGAACACAGGACCUGCUUUGAUGACCCUCAGCCUUCAAGUGUUCCCUCAGCCCCUCGAUGCACUGGGGAUGCUGGACAAAGGGUCGUAUCACUUCCACUUCCAUUAUCCCACGUGGCACAGUGAAGAUGCAGGCUUCAGGGCUCCCCACCCCUCCAGCACAGCCCUCUGCCGGUCUCAGCUCACUGCUCAUCUCCCACUUUUACUAAGGAUGGGGGUAUUUCCAUCACACAGUUACGGCAGCAGCUUCACAAAUUCGAUAAAACUUCUGACAUCCGACAUUA